UACAGAGGGUGCAAGCGUUAAUCGGAGUUACUGGGCGUAAAGGGCGCGUAGGUGGUUGUUUAAGUGAGAUGUGAAAGCCCUGGGCUUAACCUAGGAACUGCAUCUUAUACUGGGCAACUGGAGUACUGUAGAGGGUAGUGGAAUUUCCGGUGUAGCGGUGAAAUGCGUAGAGAUCGGAAGGAACACCAGUGGCGAAGGCGGCGAUCUGGGAAGAUACUGACGCUGAGGUGCGAAAGCGUGGGGAGCAAACAGG
rnacentral:rRNA from 1 species